rnacentral:sRNA from 1 species
CUCUGCCUGGACACGACGGUAUCGCGCUCUUCCUGCGUAUGAGUGAAAACAUUAGUAAGAAUCCCAGUCAUGGUCUUCGCAUGGUGAUCACAAAAACGACGCAUCGGAGUGCGACAUUCGAGGAAAGACAGCGCGUUCUUCUGCUGAAGAAGAUGAGGGAGUUCCGACACAGCGUUGAUCGACCAGCCCCAUUGCAAUGUAGCAUGUAAUGGCCGAAAUCGGUACCCACGCACAGCAAUCUCGCAGUGAAAUUCGAAAUGGUGUGUGACGGACCCUGAAACCGGAGCAGCAAGUGACCGCCCAGAAACGCGAGGUAGAUAGUCAUUCAAAAAGCGACGAAACACCUCUUGAGUCGGAUGACCGUCAAUUCUGUCACGGCUGUGACAAUAAGUCGAUCGAGAAUUGUUGAUCAAGACCGCUAUUGUCGUACAGGAGAAGAUCGUCGAUGUCAUUAUCCAUUCCCAUGUCGAUUCCACCUUUCCGAUAGCCCUCGAUCAACUGCUCCCCCAGCUGCUUUUCGGCGGGCUCCAACUCCGAAGUGAUCAAAUUGUUUAGACGUAGAAUGGCGAACAGUUGGCGGAGAAGAGACCGCAGUUCAAUCACCUGCUCCUGAAACAUGUUUCUACCACUCAUCUUAAGUUUUUGAUUCGGCCAUUGAUACGCUCGAGGGCAAAUACCCACCACCCGUAAACAGGACCAUGGGCUAAGAUAUCGUCGGGGAGGUGCUUAACGAUAUGAAAGUUGGUCACACGGGAUGGUAGGUAGGGAUGGAGCCGAACAACAAGGUCGAAAAGUCUUUAGACGGAUCGCCCCAGUCAAUGGAGAAUUUGAGGGUCAACAGAAGGCUGCCAUCCUCUCUUUCACCAUCGUCAGUUUGAUAAAGAGCUCCUCAACAGGAGAGUCUAACAGUGAGUAGGCCCGCUGACGUUCCACCUCUGAGACAUCCGGAUCUGCCGCCCAUUUACUCCGCAACUGCUUCCAAACCUCAUCCACAGUCAAGCUAUGCUCAAUCUUGGACAAAAAUAGGACCAUGUCGCCGAUCUGCUGCGAAAGACCAGCGAACGUUGUGAGUAUGAUGGUGGAGAUAGCUAGGCAGCUGGCCAGCAAAGGUAACUUGGAAGAUCUGGGUGAAGUGUCGUGGGAGAAAGGGUCGGCCAAGUGGGGAUUAGGGUGACGUCCUGAUGCAGUAGGUGAUAGGGAAGGCGGUAUCGCCAUUGGCCAUUCAGCCAGUAAACUGGCAAAUCGACGGGAGCCAGAAUCAUCCAAAGGGUCUUGCAAAAGAUCAUUGUCGGGGUAGUAGAAGUCACCAUCAUCAACCAUCGGGUCAAAGCUGCCAAUUAAUCCAUCAGCGUCUUGAAAGCCGAAUCCUUCUUGAUCGUCGUCUCUAGCAUUCACAUCAUCAGAGUGGAGGGAGGCGGAGCCUUGGCCAGAACACGCAAGCGAUGGACGAAUGUCCGUUGUCAAGGAAUGGCUGGGUCCCACAGCCUCAAGGGAAGUCGAAGGCAAAUUAUGGGCGGCUGCUUCGAGGGGAGGUUGGACACAGCUUCUUGUGUUCUCGCUCUCUCUGAUAAGCCGGUAAUAUGUGAGCACUCAGGACAUCGACAUCGGACAGGUGUCCUAUGGCUCUAUUACAUAUACAUGAGUGACAGUGCACGAAUAAACUUUGCUUUUGUACUACUUACAAUUCUUUUAUCGAAACGUAUACUCUCCGCUUCUAUUAUGAAUGGGACUUUCG